UUUCUUUUUUUCGAAAUUUUUUCUAUUUCGUUCUAUGUGCAAGUGGCAAAAGGGUUUGGUAGUUGGUAUCCGAGACUCAAGAUCAAAUCCUAAUUGAUUCGCGUUUUCAGUUAAGUUUAAUUCUAAAUGAAAUAAACGAAGCGGGUAGCAUGCUAUCUUUCUCUCUCUCAAAAAAAAAAAUUUCUAUUUCGUUCCAGCCAAAUAGCCCACCAAGUAGCAACUAUGAUUGCCGACUCCCUUCUCCCAACUACUCUCUGUUUAACACUGCAAACUUUUCAAUGCCGCCUAUCGAUCUGUAAGUAUUCAGGCACCAUUUGUUCUGUAAUAAGCAGACCGGCAGCGCACUU
rnacentral:lncRNA from 1 species